rnacentral:hammerhead_ribozyme from 1 species
AUCCAGCUGACGAGUCCUAAAUAGGACGAAACCCACAUCAAACUGGAU